rnacentral:siRNA from 1 species
GUAAUCCCUCAGGCCCGAAACUA